rnacentral:piRNA from 1 species
UAAUUGCCUUUAAUUUGGUGACAAUGAUCCA